rnacentral:ncRNA from 1 species
CCUCUCGUGGUCAAAGACCAAAGAACCGGGGAAAGAACCAGACCGAACCCCUCCAGCCUCCCGUUCGACCGCAAUCGCUCGGUCGGGUGAAUCUGUCCAACUGGACUGGAUUUGCGUGGGGUUGGCUGGCACAUGCUCGCCGCGACAACUCCAGACAUGAGACGACCCCCGGCGGGACGGCAAUCCCGGCCGAGGGUCUGAUCCACGAGGAAGAAGAGACCUUCCCG